ACAGUAUUUCUCUCUCUCCCUCCCGUUCAACGUCAAAACAAAGUUUGCAUAAAAAACACGCCGCCUUCCAGAGUGAACACAAAUCGAAUGUGAUCGCGUGUGCUUUCCUUCGGAUUUCGCUGAUUUUUACUUCUUCAACCUUUUUUUUUCCUCGGUCAUGGCCUCUGGAGCUGCUGCAGCCGUCGCCACAUCGCGUUCGCUGAAAGUCUUCGUCGGAAACCUGCCCUGGACGGUCGGACACCGGGAGUUGCGUAACUACUUCGGCCAGUUCGGAAAAAUCAGCUGGGCUCAGGUCAUCUUCGAUCGGCGCACCGGCCUUUCCAAGGGGUACGGUUUCGUGGCGUUCCAGAAGCGAACGGCGCUGGAAAAUUUGGACAAGAAGCAGAAGCAUGUGCUAGAGCAGUCGCCGAUUUUCUACCAGCAGUCGGAUUAGUGCGAAUUGUUGGAAGUUCGAACAUUAGACUUAAGGGGAUUAUAAUUUAGUUGUUUGAGUAGAAGAGGAAGAAUUGUUAGUGCACGAAAUGUCCGAUUUGGAAGACGAAAUUGAUGUGCUGGGGGAGGAGUUUGCGAGGGCGGCCAAAUUUAUCGAACGAAGCCAUGAUCAGUUCGAGCAGAAGGACCUGCUGAAGUUCUACGGAUUCUAUAAGCAAGCCACCAGUGGGAAGUGUAAUGUAUCGAAACCCGGAAUCUUCAAUAUUUCCGGGCGCGCCAAAUGGUCGGCAUGGAACGAACUGGGGGAUAUGACCAAAGAGUUAGCCAUGAAAGGGUACAUUCGGCACCUGAACGGUUUGAAACCGCAGUGGGAUCAAAGCGACGACAGUGGUGAUGGCUUUAAACCGAAGGAAGCUUCCUGGGUGUCAGUAUCGACCUUUGCCCAAGAAGAAGACGUUCUUGGAGCAGAUGAGAAGACCGUUAUCGACUUCAUCAAGGAAGGAAAUGUGGAAGAAGUGAGGAAAGCAGUGACCAGCAACGAAAUCGAACCCAUUGUCAACGAACUGGAUGACGAAGGUCUGGGCUUGAUUCAUUGGGCUGCCGAUCGAGGAAACGUGGAUAUUCUGCGGCUGAUCAUUCAAGUGCCUGCGGUGGAUAUCAAUCUACAGGAUGCUGGUGGACAAACGGCACUGCAUUAUGCUUCGAGCUGUGGGAAUCAUAAUUGCGUUAAGUUGCUGGUAGAUUCCGGAGCAGAUAAAACCGUGCAGGAUGACGAAGGAGAAAUGUGUUUGGAUGUUGCUUUUGACGGUCAGAUUAAAGCAAUUCUGAUGUGAGCACCAAA